rnacentral:rRNA from 1 species
UGGGGAAUAUUGGACAAUGGGGGGAACCCUGAUCCAGCCAUGCCGUGUGUGUGAAGAAGGCCUUAUGGUUGUAAAGCACUUUAAGCGAGGAGGAGGGUACUGGUAUUAAUACUACCAGGUACUGGACGUUACUCGCAGAAUAAGCACCGGCUAACUCUGUGCCAGCAGCCGCGGUAAUACAGAGGGUGCGAGCGUUAAUCGGAUUUACUGGGCGUAAAGCGUGCGUAGGCGGCUAAUUGAGUCGGAUGUGAAAUCCCCGAGCUUAACUUGGGAAUUGCAUUCGAUACUGGUUAGCUAGAGUGUGGGAGAGGAUGGUAGAAUUCCAGGUGUAGCGGUGAAAGGCGUAGAGAUCUGGAGGAAUACCGAUGGCGAAGGCAGCCAUCUGGCCUAACACUGACGCUGAGGUACGAAAGCAUGGGGAGCAAACAGG